GUGAUCCUCCUGCCUCGGCCUCCCUAGUAGCUGGGAUUACAGGCGUGCCCCAUGAUGUCUAGCCACAGCGCUGGCUUCCUGAGUUGGCUGCAUGAAUAAGCUGGGAGCCAGGACACAGUUCUAGCCUGGUGCCAGGGAAGCCCAAGGCUCAUCAUGAAGCCUGACAAGUGGGCAAAGGCCAAGCCGACAGUGUGCAGGGCCAAGUCUGCCCUCUGCUGCCUCCUAGGACCUGUCCUGCUUGCUGCCCCAGGAAAGGCCUGAGAGGCUGGAGUCUGG
rnacentral:lncRNA from 1 species